rnacentral:rRNA from 1 species
AGCAGCCGCGGUAAUUCCAGCUCCAAUAGCGUAUACUAAAGUUGUUGCAGUUAAAAAGCUCGUAGUUGAAUUUCGGGAUCAAAUUGUCGGUCGUGCCUCGGUACGCACUGGUAUUAUUGGUUCCUACCUUCUGAAGAACCGCGAUGUCAUUAAUUUGGUGUCGUGGGGAAUCAGGACUGUUACUUUGAAAAAAUUAGAGUGUUUAAAGCAGGCUUACGCUUGAAUACAUUAGCAUGGAAUAAUGAAAUAGGACGUUUGAUUCUAUUUUGUUGGUUUCUAGGAUUGACGUAAUGAUUAAUAGGGAUAGUUGGGGGCAUUAGUAUUCAAUUGUCAGAGGUGAAAUUCUUGGAUUUAUUGAAGACUAACUACUGCGAAAGCAUUUGCCAAGGAUGUUUUCAUUAAUCAAGAACGAAAGUUAGGGGAUCGAAGACGAUCAGAUACCGUCGUAGUCUUAACCAUAAACUAUGCCGACUAGGGAUCGGAUGAUGUUAAUUUUUUAAUGACUCA